rnacentral:miRNA from 10 species
AUGAUAUUAGGUUGGUGCAAAAGUAAUUGCGGUUUUUACCAUUAAAAGUAAUGUCAGAACUGCAAUUAUUUUUGUACCACCCUAAUAGCAUCUGUCCUCUGAUAAUG